UGAGAUGAUUAUAUACAGGG
rnacentral:piRNA from 1 species